rnacentral:rRNA from 1 species
UGGGGAAUAUUGGACAAUGGGCGCAAGCCUGAUCCAGCCAUGCCGCGUGGGUGAAGAAGGCCCUAGGGUUGUAAACCCCUUUCAGCGGGGAAGAUAAUGACGGUACCCGCAGAAGAAGCCCCGGCUAACUCCGUGCCAGCAGCCGCGGUAAUACGGAGGGGGCUAGCGUUGUUCGGAAUUACCGGGCGUAAAGCGCGCGUAGGCGGACCUGCAAGUCGGGGGUGAAAGCCCGAGGCUCAACCUCGGAACUGCCUUCGAUACUGCGGGUCUCGAGUCCGGGAGAGGUGAGUGGAAUUCCUAGUGUAGAGGUGAAAUUCGUAGAUAUUAGGAAGAACACCAGUGGCGAAGGCGGCUCACUGGCCCGGUACUGACGCUGAGGCGCGAAAGCGUGGGGAGCAAACAGGAUUAGAUACCCUGGUAGUCCACGCCGUAAACUAUGGGCGCUAGCCGUCGGUCGGCAUGCCGGUCGGUGGCGCAGCAAACGCAUU